rnacentral:rRNA from 1 species
CUGUAUGGCCAUACCACUCUGAAUGUGCCUGACCUCUUCUGAUCUUGGAAGCUAAGCAGGGUCAGGCCUUGUUAACACUUAGAAGGGAGAAUGGAAACUAUGGAGA